CGCGGUUGCAGAAGAUUGUGGGGAAAGAGCUAGAAGCAUUCUGUGCUCAGAUGGCUUCCUGUUUAUCUGAGAUUAGAUACUCCGCAAAUGCUUCUGUCAUGCAUACAGCAGUAAUUCAAGAGGAAUGGUUCUUGGGGCUGCUUCCCCAAGACCAGCACAAGCCCCACUGGGCACUGGAGCUUCUGAGUCAGAAGUGCUGGAGAUUAAGCUGAAUUUGGAGGAAACGGCCGCCGUUCUUUCCCCAUGUGUUGGUGGCAAUGUACGUUUGUCUCUAGUUCUGGAGGUCAGAGGGGACCUGUGGGGACAGGGACACCCCGGGCCACAGGGGUC